rnacentral:misc_RNA from 1 species
AAUUGAGUUGGGCCUUGAAGAUUGCGUAGAAGAUAUUGAUGCUCAACAGGUACUUGGAUAUGCUCUUCACAAAAAUGGAACAACUACUAAACUAUCAUAUCCUUUGCAACGCUUUGAUCUAGAUGUGGCUGGAAGAAGUUCUCACAAUGGACGUUUCAUUAAAGAUGCGUGAAAAAGCUGCUUCUUUACCCAAACUUCAAAUGUAAGAUUGGAGGAAGGGACAGU